UGAGCACAGAAGAACCCUCCUUAUUUAAUACAGGAUUAUCCAACUUCCUUGGCAUUCCGACUCCAGAAACAAAGAGAGUGCACGAAAGAAAAAGAGAACGCCUCAGUGGAGCCUGGCCACACCACAAUCCCUUCCCCUCCAAUUCUUCAUCCUGACUGGACCCUGGAAACACAUGCCUACUCACCAUGUAAACCAUCAUGACCAGGACUCCAACCCUGGCUGGCCAGGUGGGAUCCUGCUUCCUCUGAAUAGCACUUAACUGCUGCAUUAUGGGCCAGCCGGCACUAAUUGUUAGUGAAAGUAAGGGGCCUCAGAGUUGCAGUCACAGUGAAAGAUUUGAUAUAUGCUUGCCAACUAAAAACAGCUGUGUGAUUCUGGGCAAGUUUCUUUAAUCCUUUUGUUUUGUUUUACUGUAUAAUGGGAAUACUGACAAUACAAGUUGUCAAAGGUCAUGUUCAAUAAUUUUAUUAAAAGUACUUUGUAAACUGGACAGAGCUAGACAACUAAUGUACUAUUGUUGGCCAAGUG